rnacentral:rRNA from 1 species
GAUCAUGGCUCAGGACGAACGCUGGCGGCGCGCCUAACACAUGCAAGUCUAACGGGGUUAUACGGGAUGAAGUUUUCGGAUGGAAUUCUAUAUAACCUAGUGGCGGACGGGUGAGUAACACGUGAGCAACCUGCCUAUCAGAGGGGGAUAACGAUUGGAAACGAUCGCUAAUACCGCAUGACAUAGCGAAGAGGCAUCUUUUUGCUAUAAAAGAUUUAUCGCUGAUAGAUGGGCUCGCG